GAUGAACGCUGGCGGCGUGCUUAACACAUGCAAGUCGAACGGUGAACACGGAGCUCGCUCUGUGGGAUCAGUGGCGAACGGGUGAGUAACACGUGAGCAACCUGCCCCUGACUCUGGGAUAAGCGCUGGAAACGGCGUCUAAUACUGGAUACGAGUAGCGGCCGCAUGGUCAGUUACUGGAAAGAUUUUUUGGUUGGGGAUGGGCUCGCGGCCUAUCAGCUUGUUGGUGAGGUAAUGGCUCACCAAGGCGUCGACGGGUAGCCGGCCUGAGAGAGGGAGCGGCCACAGUGGGACUGAGAAACGGCCCAGACUCCUACGGGAGGCAGCAGUGGGGAAUAUUGCACAAUGGGCGAAAGCCUGAUGCAGCAACGCCGCGUGAGGGAUGACGGCCUUCGGGUUGUAAACCUCUUUUAGCAGGGAAGAAGCGAAAGUGACGGUACCUGCAGAAAAAGCGCCGGCUAACUACGUGCCGGCCGCCGCAGUAA
rnacentral:rRNA from 1 species